UUUGGAAGAGCAGGCAAUGCUCUUAACCACUGAGCCAUCUCUCCAGCCCAAGUGAAGAUACAAUGUUUUAUCUGGGUAUGGCAUUGAAGGCCUAUAAUCCUAAUCUUAGGAGAUAGAGGCAGAAGGAUCAGGAAUUCAAGGUCAUCCUCAGAAGUUAAGAACUCUUGUCGCUCUUCCAGAGGAUGAGGUUCAAUACAAAGCAUCUUCACAGUGGCCCACAACCAUCCUUAACUCCAGUUCCAGUGGACCUGUUGCCUUCUUGCCUCCAUGGGCACCAGGCAUGCAUGUAUUAAAUAAAUACAUGGAGGCAAAACACUCAAUGCAUAAAUCUUUUUAAAGUUUGAGGCCAGCAUGUAUGUCAUGAAACCCUGUCUAAAAAGCAUCCUCAGUCAAUACAUAUUUACGCAAUAAAAUAUAAGAUUUUAUAUUUAAAGCUUAUUUGCAUAUCCUACAAAUACAUGAUUUGGAGCCCAAGUGAAACAUAUAUAUUGCUUGCAUAAAAAUCCAAUUAAAUUUAUACUCUCUGGUUUAAAACAUCAUUUUUUUUUAAAUAAAAUAUCGUUCUUACAAAGUUCAAUUAAUACUGCUUGAGAAAAUUGUAUUUUGGGUGGGCAUGGUGUCACACUCUUGUAAUCCCAGCACCGGAGCUAGAGGAAGGAGCGCUCUGGUUGGAGGCCAACCUGGGUUACAUAAUAACAGGGUUUCAAAACAAAAGCUGUGCUUUCAUGUUGAAAACAUCAUUUCAAUCUUAAAUUGGUAGGGUUUGGACAGUAAUGAGCCAUGCACAAAUCUUUGAGAUUAGAAGAAAAAAUUAGUGUAUUUUUUUUCCUACAGGAAACAUAUACACAAAUGUUCAUAGUUGCUAUUAGUCAUGAUAUUCAAAAACAAGCAACCCAGAUACUUAGCAGUUGAUUUGGGUAAUGUAUCUAUGGAACAGAAUUGCACUAAACAACAGAAUACUGGCAUCUGGUGGCACACAUCUGUAAUCCCAGCACCUAAGAAGCAAAGCAAGGGGAUCAUGAAUUAAGGUCAGCCUGGGCUACUGCUGAGUUCUAGGCCAGGCUAAAAUGAGAUCUGCAGAAACAAGUAGGAAGGAAAAUGUUACAAGCUAACUUAAACUAUCCUUGAAAUAAUCCCUGCAAACAAAAAGUAAGCAGGAAAGCUUUUUCUCUUGCUUGGCAUGAAUUUUUUUUUAAUGAAUUCAUGUGUGUGUACAUAUGUACUUUUUAUAUAUCUACAAAUAUUAAGCAAUUACUUUUCUUACUCUAUCAUGUUAUACAGUAUGUAUUAACACCUUAUCAGUAUUUUAAAUCUUGUUAAUUUUAUAUCAUAAUAUUUAAGUUAAGAGAAAAGUAAACACUUUUCAAAAACCUAUUCUAGGGAAGGGACAGCAUCCCAGCUAUAUGAAAAGUAUUUGUGAUGGCUAACUUUGACACGUUAUGUGUCAACUUGACUGGGUCGACGGAUGCCCAGAUGGUUGGUAAAAAACUAUUCCUGGUGAAUCCUUAGGGUAUUCUUGAGCGAGAUUCCCCUUUGAAAUCAGUGGACUGAGACCUAAGAAGCCUGCCCUCAAUGCAAACAAGAGUUUUUCAAUUCAUUGAGAUUUUGAAUAAAAUUCAAUUGCAGAGGAAAGGAAACUUGCUUCUUUUUUCUUACUUGCAUCUUCUACGGCCCCAGUGGACAUCAGUACUUGUGGUUUUCUGACCUUUGGAUUCACAAUGCAGCUCCUAUAACUCCCUCCACUCGACCCUCUGGACCCUCAGACUUGGAUUGAAUUAUCCCAACUACCUUUACUUGUUCAACAUUAUAUAAAAGUAACGUUUUGGGACUUAGUGGCCUUCGUGAUAGUGUCAGAGCCAAUUCCAGUAUUUCUUUGGGAAACUGUAAUUAAUGCGUUCCUCUUUGCUUUUGCUUUAGAACACAGAAUUCAGUUUAAUACUAUUAUUGUCCCUUAGUUUCACAAAAUUAAUUAGCACUUUUAUGUGUUAGCUUGAAAUAAAGUCACUAUAAUGUUCUUAUGUUUCAAAGGCAUUCUGCCUUUCAACAAACAUAACUUACACGUACAGUUUUUAAAAACAAUCUCAGGAGCUUGAGAGAUGGUUCAGCAAUGAAAGAGCACUGGACUCUUCCAGAGGAUCUGGUUUCUAUUCCCAGCACCCACACUGUGGCUCACAACCAACAACCAUCUGUAAUUCCAGAUGUAACCCAGGAGGUCAUAUGUCCACCACAGGCACCACAGUACAUGCAGUACACAGAUACAUGUGUAGGGAAAAUACCCAUACACAUUCAAAACAAAACAAAACACUAAUCCACUUAUAAUUCAAGACUGACCUCAAACUCAUGUACCAGGCUGGCCUAAGUUUGAUUCUUCUGUGUUAGAUUCUGGAGUGCUGAGAUUGCAGGCUACACCAUCAUAACUAGUUUAGACCAAAUUUUAACGUAAUACAGAUUGUUGAUAGAAUAAUUUGUUUUCUAACCAGAGCAGUGUAAAUGAGAAAGUGAAGCAGAGCUGGAAAAAGGAAAGCUCAUGGGCAGUAGAAACAACAUUGAAAGUCUCAAGAUAACCUAGUAAGUUUGGGAAGCAACAAGUACUUUGGCUGCGUGUGUGCCCUUAUUGUGCACCACUGAGACAAGACUGAAAUAUGUGACUAAGUCUUGAAAUCUUUUUAUUCUGAAGUCGAUGGAAUGGAAUAAUUUUUUUUUUACAUAAAAAGGCUUGAUUGGAUUUCAUUCAAAAAGAAAAAAUAUCUAUGCUAGCCAUGUAGAGGAUACACAAGGUGUGAUGGAAGCCAUGUGGAGGAUACACAAGGUGUGAUGGAAGCCAUGUGGAGGAUACACAAGGUGUAUCAAAGCCUUUGAGACGCCUACACCCGUGCUUUCAUGUAUGUUUUUAGUUUGUUUUGGGGGUUGUUUAGUUUUUUCAAGACAAAGGCUCUGUGUAACAGUCCUGACUGUCCUGGAACUUACUUUAUAGACCAGGCCUGCCUGUGCCUCUAGAGUGCUGGGAUUAAAGGUACCCGCCCACUGCCCAGCAGGAGUACUUUCUUUUAACCCUUGUGUUUACAGGGUUAAAUACAGCUCGUAUGUGUAAGCCAAAUAAACACUUUCUUCUUUAACACUUUAAA